rnacentral:misc_RNA from 1 species
GGAAAAGACAAGUUUAAGGAUGAUGCCAAGCAGGUUAUGGAUGUUUUGUUGUCACUACAAGGAUCUCCAAUGGAAGCAGAUGAUCCCACAACCAGCUACAUGUUACAAGCAUGGGCAAGACUCUGCAAAUGCCUUGGACAGGAUUUUCUUCCUUACAUGAGCGUUGUGAUGCCACCUUUGCUUCAAUCUGCUCAACUUAAACCUGAUGUCACAAUCACAUCUGCUGAUUCAGAUGCUGAUAUUGAUGAUGACGAUGAUAGCAUUGAAACAAUAACUCUCGGUGACAAAAGGAUUGGCA